ACGGAAGGCAGCAGUGAGGAAUAUUGGUCAAUGGACGCAAGUCUGAACCAGCCAUGCCGCGUGCAGGAAUAAGGCCCUAUGGGUCGUAAACUGCUUUUGUGGUGGAGCAAUAAGUCGUACGUGUACGGCGAUGAGAGUACAUCACGAAUAAGCAUCGGCUAACUCCGUGCCAGCAGCCGCGGUAAUACGGAGGAUGCAAGCGUUAUCCGGAUUUAUUGGGUUUAAAGGGUGCGUAGGCUGUGGUCCAAGUCAGGGGUGAAAGCCCGGAGCUCAACUCCGGAACUGCCUUUGAUACUGGAUUGCUGGAAUACGGAUGCCGUGGGAGGAAUGAGUAGUGUAGCGGUGAAGUGCAUAGAUAUUACUCAGAACACCGAUUGCGAAGGCAUCUCACGAAUCCGUCAUUGACGCUGAGGCACGAAAGCGUGGGGAUCAAACAGGAUUAGAUACCCUGGUA
rnacentral:rRNA from 1 species